rnacentral:sRNA from 1 species
GAAGAAUGGCCUUUUGGUCCUUUGGACACGUAGCCGAGAGC